rnacentral:rRNA from 1 species
UGGGGAAUAUUGGACAAUGGGGGAAACCCUGAUCCAGCGAUGCCGCGUGUGUGAAGAAGGCCUGAGGGUUGUAAAGCACUUUUGUUGGGGAGGAGAAGGUGUAGUUUAAGAGAUGACACCUGAGACGUUACCCAAAGAAAAAGCACCGGCUAACUCCGUGCCAGCAGCCGCGGUAAUACGGAGGGUGCAAGCGUUAAUCGGAAUAAUUGGGCGUAAAGAGCGCGUAGGUGGUUUGCUAUGUGGGUUGUGAAAGACUUGGGCUUAACCUGGGGAUGUCAACUCAAACGGGCAGACUAGAGUACAGUAGAGGGUCGUGGAAUUUCCGGUGUAGCGGUGAAAUGCGUAGAGAUCGGAAGGAACACCAGUGGCGAAGGCGACGACCUGGGCUGAAACUGACACUGAGGUGCGAAAGCGUGGGGAGCAAACAGG